UUAGUUUUGCACUUCAUAUUAUUUCUUGUGUGAUUUUACCUAUGGUUCAGUUGCUCUUAUUGCCACUAGCAUGUAGUUGUUAGUCUACCUAGUUUAACUUAGCAUGUUUCCACCUAUCCCCCUUUCCUUGUCUCAAUGUAUGUUUUCCCUCUUCCAUUUGCACUACUGCUUGGCUACUUAAUAGCCCUAUAACCUCUCCCUGAAGUUGAUUAUAUUUGGGGUUUGGUGCAGUAAGAACCAAACCCUUGUUUGACAACCAUGCUUG
rnacentral:lncRNA from 1 species